rnacentral:tRNA from 1 species
GCCUGGGUGGCUCCGUUGGUUGAGCAUCCGACUUUGGCUCAGGUCAUGAUCUCAUAGUAUGUGGGUUCGAGCCCCAUAUCGGGCU